GGACGGAUAGCUCAGUUGGUAGAGCACCAGACUGAAAAUCUGGUUGUCCCCAGUUCAACUCUGGGUCCGUCCACCA
rnacentral:tRNA from 3 species